rnacentral:lncRNA from 10 species
UAUGUUUUAUUGUAGAGGGUGUAUUUUUUGUCAGAAAAUUAUAAGACUAGAGGGAAAGACUAGUAACCAAAUAUAAUUUUUCAAAAGCAUAAAUUUUAUUCUCUAACAAGGCACAUCAGAAAAUACCAUGAAAAUUUCCUCAUAUUUUAUAAAAUUUAUGAAUAUAUAAAAUACUGAUGAGCUAAAUGGAUCUAUUUUGUAUUGAUGAACAUGAUUUUAUGUAUUAUCAUAAUAAUAAAAAUUAGAUGAAUUUAAAAGUCAAUUGCUUGGAGGUUAGCAAAAUAUUGAAAUGACUGAAGUUGAAGAUUUAUUACCACUUAACAUACACUUAUUUAAUACCAAAUAUUUCACUGUGGAGGAAUAGCUGAGAAACCAAAUGUAUUGACUAGAGUUUAUAUGAAUGUUUCAAUAUAGCUGCUCUUACUUGAUUAUGUAUUUUAAAAUUUUGUUAUUAUUUUUUAUUUAUAAAAUAGAGACAGGGUCUCAUGUUGCCCAUGCUGGUCUCGAACUCCCUGGCUCAAACGAUCCUCCCGCCUCUGCCUUCCAAAGUGCUGAGAUUACAGGAGUGAGCCACUGUGCCUGGCCAAUUAUAUAUUUUUAAUGCCUAGUAAAAAUCCAUUAUAAGGUACAUUUUUGGCAUUACCAAUUAACUUGGGUGGGAAAAUGUGUGAUCCACAGCAGGGCAAGAUUUCUAUUUUAAAAUAAAAGCAGAUACAGUCAAAUGAACCUUACUGGAACGAAUAGGAAUGAUAUUAUUAUGAUAUUCUGCAUCCACAUGGCAAGAGAUGACACCAUUUUCUGAAUUUACUUCAGAUAAAUAUCCCGCAGUGGAAUCAGCCUUCCCAGGGACCUCCCUGGACUCUGAGAAGUGAUUAAAGGGACUGUGCGGCAGUCAUGGGGAUGCAAGCAGCUGUGGCCAUCAAACUGGUUCUAACAGACAGUAUGAGAUCUUCAUGAUUCUGGACCAUAAGGAUUCCAAAUAGGCUGUUCACUUAUGAGUAGGCCUGUAACACGGACGUGUGAGAAUAAACGCCAGAGAAAAAUUUUUGAUGGUAUUGACAUGGAAUGCAUCUGUGGCACAGGCCAGCGAAGAGAUGGGUUGGCUUCCUCUUCGAGUCAGAGCAAAAGGAUGUGGCAAAAAAGAUCUAAGGAUGCCAUGAGGAAUUCCAUGUGUACAUGCAGGUCGUGG